AUGUACACAAGCCUAAAGGCCCACAAAACGUGGAUCUGCUGUGGCCUGAGGAGCGGCACUGACUCACCCUCUGGAGACCACACCAGAACUCCUGUCCCUCCUGCCCUCCCGUGGGUGAGCCCUUGCACGCCCCACCAGCACAGCACGCUGUCACUACCGCAUCACUGCUCUCAAGUCGAAGCGCCCCUCCUGGGCUCAGCGGGCAGCAGCCACAGGAAUUUCUAGGAAGACAAGCACGUCAUCUGCAAAUAGCCAUGUGGUCAAUUCCUUGCCAAUAUUUAUCCUUCUGUACCAGUCAGAAGUUCUGUUUGCAAACAACGGAAACCAGCUCUACUUAAACUAACAUGGGAAGGUUAUUGGGAGAGACAAACUCGGAGAAGCCAAAAUAACCAAUAAAGUCCUAAUACAGUUCUGCCUGCUUUUCA
rnacentral:lncRNA from 1 species